rnacentral:rRNA from 1 species
AUUGAACGCUGGCGGCAGGCUUAACACAUGCAAGUCGAGCGGAGAGAGGUAGCUUGCUACUGAUCUUAGCGGCGGACGGGUGAGUAAUGCCUAGGAAUCUGCCUAUUAGUGGGGGACAACAUUUCGAAAGGAAUGCUAAUACCGCAUACGUCCUACGGGAGAAAGCAGGGGAUCUUCGGACCUUGCGCUAAUAGAUGAGCCUAGUCGGAUUAGCUAGUUGGUGGGGUAAAGGCCUACCAAGGCGACGAUCUGUAGCGGGUCUGAGAGGAUGAUCCGCCACACUGGGACUGAGACACGGCCCAGACUCCUACGGGAGGCAGCAGUGGGGAAUAUUGGACAAUGGGCGGAAGCCUGAUCCAGCCAUGCCGCGUGUGUGAAGAAGGCCUUAUGGUUGUAAAGCACUUUAAGCGAGGAGGAGGCUACUUUAGUUAAUACCCAGAGAUAGUGGACGUUACUCGCAGAAUAAGCACCGGCUAACUCUGUGCCAGCCGCCGCAGUAAGAC